UACGAAGGGUGCAAGCGUUAUUCGGAAUGAUUGGGCGUAAAGGGCGCGCAGACGGUAUGUUAAGUCAACUGUUAAAUUUCCCGGCCUAACCGGGAGCAAGCAGUAGAAACUGGCGUGCUAGAGGGUGGAAGAGAGAAGUGGAAUUCUCGGAGUAGCGGUAAAAUGCGUAGAUCUCGAGAGGAACACCGAUGGCGAAGGCAGCUUCUUAGUCCAUACCUGACGUUCAUGCACGAAAGCGUGGGGAGCAAACAGG
rnacentral:rRNA from 1 species